rnacentral:lncRNA from 1 species
UCUGUACCUGACUCAUUCAAAAAAUUCUAGAAAUAGUUAAAGGCCUGCCAAAGAAAGGAGUGAAACAGGUACAAAGAAGAAGAUUGGGAACACAAAAAUAUAUUCAAAAACAUUUAUCAGAGCUCUCUGUAAUAUGUUUGAUUGCAUCUGUGUUUGCACUUUGUGAUUGAAAAAUAGUUAAGGGAAUAGUGGUAAUCACUUGUCAGGUUAUUGUGAAAUUUCAAAUUUGAAACAAACAAAAAAGGCAAAAGAAAUUGAAAGAAGUGUGAGUGUUUGAGGAAGACUUCUUUAUUGGGGUUGACAUAUUCCUAGAUAGCACAUAGGAAGUAACCUGAAUAAAAGGCAAGAGGGAAAACAAGAUUAUGAGGAAGAUAAAGACUAUCAAAAUCAGUGAAACUAUGCUGGUGACCAGAAAAACUGAUGGAGAAGAUAAAGGAGAGAAGUUUGAACCAAUAGUGCUAUAAAGGUAUGUCACAAUAAGAGGAGCAAUAAUAAAGUAU